rnacentral:rRNA from 1 species
CACGGAGUUAGCCGAUGCUUUUUCUUCGGAUACACGCAGUCCGGGACACGUCCCAGGUUUUGUUCUCCGACAAAAGAGGUUUACAACCCAUAGGGCCGUCUUCCCUCACGCGGCUUGGCUGGUUCAGGAUCUCUCCCAUUGACCAAUAUUCCUCACUGCUGCCUCCCGUAGGAGUCUGGUCCGUGUCUCAGUACCAGUGUGGGGGACCUUCCUCUCAGAACCCCUACGCAUCGUCGCCACGGUGGGCCGUUACCCCGCCGUCAAGCUAAUGCGCCGCAUGCCCAUCCUCUUCCGAUGAAUCUUUCCUCGAUCUCGGAUGCCCGAAACCGAUAUACGCGGGAUUAGCCUCCCUUUCGGAAGGUUGUCCCCCUGAAGAGGGCAGGUUGCAUACGUGUUACUCACCCGUGCGCCGGUCGCCGGCAAGGAAAGCAAGCUUCCCUCCCGAUGCCCCUCGACUUGCAUGUGUUAAGCCUGCCGCUAGCGUUCAUCCUGAGCCAGGAUCAAAACUCU